AGAGUUUGAUCCUGGCUCAGAUUGAACGCUGGCGGCAUGCUUUACACAUGCAAGUCGAACGGUAACAGGUCUUCGGAUGCUGACGAGUGGCGAACGGGUGAGUAAUGCAUCGGAACGUGCCCAGUCGUGGGGGAUAACGCAGCGAAAGCUGUGCUAAUACCGCAUACGAUCUAUGGAUGAAAGCGGGGGAUCGCAAGACCUCGCGCGAUUGGAGCGGCCGAUGUCAGAUUAGCUAGUUGGUGGGGUAAAGGCCCACCAAGGCGACGAUCUGUAGCUGGUCUGAGAGGACGACCAGCCACACUGGGACUGAGACACGGCCCAGACUCCUACGGGAGGCAGCAGUGGGGAAUUUUGGACAAUGGGCGCAAGCCUGAUCCAGCAAUGCCGCGUGCAGGAAGAAGGCCUUCGGGUUGUAAACUGCUUUUGUACGGAACGAAAAGGUCUGGGUUAAUACCCUGGGCUCAUGACGGUACCGUAAGAAUAAG
rnacentral:rRNA from 1 species